AUACUUACCUGGCAGGGGAGAUACCAUGAUCAAGAAGGUGGUUCACCCACAGCGAGGCUCAGCCAUUGCACUCUGGCUUGUGCUGACCCGUGCGAAUUCCCCAAAUGUGGGAAUCUCGACUGCAUAAUUUCUGGUAGUGGGGGACUGCGUUCGCGCUCCCCUG
rnacentral:snRNA from 1 species